AUCGAACGCUGGCGGCAGGCCUAACACAUGCAAGUCGAGCGGAGAGGCGGACGGGUGAGUAAUGCCUAGGAAUCUGCCUGGUAGUGGGGGAUAAAGUCCGGAAACGGGCGCUAAUAACGCAUACUAUCAGAGGAGCCUAGGUCGGAUUGGCUAGUUGGUGGGGUAAAGGCGUACCAAGGCGACGAUCCGUAACUGGUCUGAGAGCAGGAUCAGUCACACUGGAACUGAGACACGGUCCAGACGCCGACGGGAGGCAGCAGUGGGGAAUAUUGGGCAAUGGGCGAAAGCCUGAUCCAGCCAUGCCGCGUGAGUGAAGAAGGUCUUCGGAUGGUAAAGCACUUUAAGUGGGGAGGCGGUACCAACAGAAAAAGCACCGGCUAACUACGUGCCAGCAGCCGCGGUAAUAC
rnacentral:rRNA from 1 species